GAACGCUGGCGGCGUGCCUAAUACAUGCAAGUCGAGCGAACAGAUAAGGAGCUUGCUCCUUUGACGUUAGCGGCGGACGGGUGAGUAACACGUGGGUAACCUACCUAUAAGACUGGGAUAACUUCGGGAAACCGGAGCUAAUACCGGAUAACAUUUGGAACCGCAUGGUUCUAAAGUGAAAGAUGGUUUUGCUAUCACUUAUAGAUGGACCCGCGCCGUAUUAGCUAGUUGGUAAGGUAACGGCUUACCAAGGCAACGAUACGUAGCCGACCUGAGAGGGUGAUCGGCCACACUGGAACUGAGACACGGUCCAGACUCCUACGGGAGGCAGCAGUAGGGAACCUUCCGCAAUGGGCGAAAGCCUGACGGAGCAACGCCGCGUGAGUGAUGAAGGGUUUCGGCUCGUAAAACUCUGUUAUUAGGGAAGAACAAACGUGUAAGUAACUAUGCACGUCUUGACGGUACCUAAUCAGAAAGCCACGGCUAACUACGUGCCAGCAGCCGCGGUAAUACGUAGGUGGCAAGCGUUAUCCGGAAUUAUUGGGCGUAAAGCGCGCGUAGGCGGUUUCUUAAGUCUGAUGUGAAAGCCCACGGCUCAACCGUGGAGGGUCAUUGGAAACUGGGAAACUUGAGUGCAGAAGAGGAAAGUGGAAUUCCAUGUGUAGCCGUGAAAUGCGCAGAGAUAUGGAGGAACACCAGUGGCGAAGGCGACUUUCUGGUCUGUAACUGACGCUGAUGUGCGAAAGCGUGGGGAUCAAACAGGAUUAGAUACCCUGGUAGUCCACGCCGUAAACGAUGAGUGCUAAGUGUUAGGGGGUUUCCGCCCCUUAGUGCUGCAGCUAACGCAUUAAGCACUCCGCCUGGGGAGUACGACCGCAAGGUUGAAACUCAAAGGAAUUGACGG
rnacentral:rRNA from 1 species